ACAGCAGCAGCCACGGUAAUACGGGGGGGGCAAGUGUUAUUCGGAAUGACUGGGCGUAAAGGGCACGUAGGCGGUGAAAAGGGUGGAAAGUGAAAGUCGCCAAAACACUGGCGGGGUGCUUUCUUGACCAUUUCACUUGAGUGAGAUAGGGGAGAGUGGAAUUUCGUGUGGAGGGAUCAAAUCCUAAGAUAUACGAAGGAACGCCAACCGCGAAGGCAGCUCUCUGGGUCCCCACUGACGCUGGGGUGCGAAAGCAUGGGGAGCAAACAGGAUCAGAUACCCCUGUAGUCCCUGUCUCUUAUACA
rnacentral:rRNA from 1 species